AGCAGUAGCCGCGGUAAGACGAACCGUCCGAACGUUAUUCGGAAUUACUGGGCUUAAAGGGUGCGUAGGCGGCCCUACAAGUCAGGUGUGAAAUCCCACGGCUCAACCGUGGAACUGCGCUUGAAACUGUAGGGCUUGAGGGAGAUAGGGGUGAGCGGAACUGAUGGUGGAGCGGUGAAAUGCGUUGAUAUCAUCAGGAACACCGGCGGCGAAGGCGGCUCACUGGGUCUCUACUGACGCUGAGGCACGAAAGCUAGGGGAGCGAACGGGAUUAGAUACCCCUGUAGUCCCUGUCUCUUAUAC
rnacentral:rRNA from 1 species